ACUCGCGAAGUCAUUCAGUUUCGUACGGGACUUCUGAGCGGACGCACGUGUUUUCUGUGGAGUACAACGACGCGCCUGCGGUUCUAGAUUGCAGUACAGAGUGGAAGAGAGCGGUUUUGGACUAGAGUCCUUUGGAAGUUGUGUUAUUUUGUGCAAGUGGUUUAAUGCAGGAUUUUGAACUUCGCGCGCGCUGUUUUCUUGGGGUUCAAUUUUGUUAGAAAAAGAAAACAAUUUUACCUACGUACCGCGUAAUUCGGUGGAAACUGCAGAAUUACAUAAAAUUGUGAUUGAGUUGCCGGUGGUUCAACGAAAUUGGCGAAACGAGUGAGUUUUCCAGCGAAGGAAGAAGAGCUAAAAGUAUAAUUACCGUGAAGCCGGGCGGGAAGGUUCACCAGCCACCGGAAAAGAGCAACUUAACGAAUAUAUGUUCUGAGUUUUUUUUUUCAUCGAUUACCGAUAUUAUUUUUUGCAUAACUUCACGUGUACACGAGUGUGAGUGUGUUUGAAAAGUAGGGAAAAUUUCAUUGAAAUAUUGAGGCAACUCAAGCUGCUGGCGAAAAAAAAGUGUAUUUGAAAGUGAUUUUGCAGUGAGGAUUGACCUGGAUAGUCGAGUCGGCAAGCUGUACGGCAAGAAGUGUUCCGGGAAAUCAAAUAUUUUGCUAUACUUAAGCAACACGAGCCUACGAGAGCCAGCUGGAAGCAGAAUAAUAUCUAAACCGAAGAUUUUCGGAUUUGUCUGUGGCUUACUGAAGAUUGAGUGAAGUAACCUGAACUGUGAACAACCUGACCGACUGAGCUUCGAUCUCCCAGUGAUUUAGUGCUUAGUGUAGAGAGAUCACUUCACACCCUUAAAGGGGCAAGUGCACGAAGAAUCAGUGUUGGAUCGAUUAGAUCGAUACGUUACAUAAAGAGGUGAAGACGACUCCGCGGCCAAGUGUUUAGUGCGACGAUUUACGACUCCGAGUUCGCGGGCCAAGUCCUCUCGAAAUCAAAAAGAGUGGAAAAUUUAACGUGAUUGA